AGUACUGUGACCCUCCUGCGGGCUGAAGCUGCGGGAGACUUUAGGUGGUGAUUGUCCAGGUCUGGUCCUGCCCUGCAAAGAAAAUAACCGUCUGCCCGGACACGGCCGGUGCGCCGCUUCCUCUUCUGGGGAUCGCGUCCGUAGUGCGCCAGCAGCGCUCCCCAAAGCUGGCUGUGGAACGAUAAGAGAGUUUCCACCCUGCGUUUGUGGCAGCAAAAUCUGCCAAUCAUGGCAAAUUACACAAACGAUUCUGCGGAGGCUAAACCAAGAUUGCUGAACUCAUUUUCAUGCAUGGCUAAACACAGAAUUGAACCUCAUGCUCCAGAAGUGAAAGAUGACUUUCUGGAUCAAGGAGUUUAUAGAGUUGCAAGGAGAGACUGGAAGAAAACUUGGAAGAGACGCUGUAGAGUCUACUAACUAGAUAAAUCACAUAACCUAACUUGAAAAUGUUGGAAGGCUGGGAGGUACCUGACUUGAGAAGAGGGUUCCGCCUAGCAGAAAUGCUAAGCACCUACAGAUUCAACUGAAGUUGAUGUGGGCUGCUCUUAUAAACCACAGUGUACUUUAAGUUGUUUCUUUCAAAAAAAAUCAGCUCAAAUGAGGCAUUUUAGCAAAACCUUUUAAGCUUAAUUUCUUUGUUUCAGUUUCCAGUCUCUAACAUGAGUAAGAGCACUGUCCUCUCGCUUGCAAUGAAUUGUGAAAAUCAGUUUAUUGGUACAUGUGAAGCACUCAGGAGCAGUAGUGGUGGCCGUUCUGAGGAAAUGAAUGCCUGUGAAAAGGGUUUGAAUUAGUAAAUAGACAUGAGGUGAUAUGUGGAACAAAAAGGGAAAAAAUGUACUAAAUAGCUGCUCACUGGUGAGCACUGACAAUUCUGUGUACAGAAUGAAGCAAACAUCCUGGGGAAAAAUAGUGUGCGAGGGUGUAUUUGAAGACUUCAUCAUGCUGUGGAUUGCGCAAGGAAGCCAAAUAAAGAUUGCA